GGGCGUGUCCGGCGCGGGGGACACAGCAAGCAAUAUGACUAAAAAGAAGCGGGAGAAUCUGGGCGUCGCUCUGGAGAUCGAUGGGCUAGAGGAGAAGCUGUCUCAGUGUCGAAAGGAACUAGAGGCUGUGACCUCCCAACUCUACAGGGCAGAACUAAGCCCUGAAGACAGGAGGUCUCUUGAAAAGGAGAAAACCAGCCUCAAGAGCAAAGCCUCCAAGUACGAGAAGGAGCUAAAGCUGCUUCGGCAAGAGAAUCAGAAGAACAUGCUGCUCUCCGUGGCCAUCUUCAUCCUCCUCGCCCUGGUUUACGCCCACUGGACCAUGUGAAUCUGCCAGCCUCAGCCAUGUGGCCUCCCCUCCACCUCUUCUCAGGACCAAGCAGCCCUUCAAGCUCAAGAGGCCCAAGACACAGACUGAUCCUGGAUUGUCACAGUGCCAUCAUGGAAUAAGCCAAGUGAUUUAUGGAAGAGAAGGAAAGUACCCCUGCCCUCCUGGGACUGUGGCUUCAUUCAUCCCUACAUCCCUCCUUCUAACAAGAGCUGCCUAAUUUCCCUGUUGCCCCUGAGCUCCCUGUCUACUGGCCAGCAGCAGCUCCAAGAGCCCUGCCUGGGCCCAGGAGCUCAGAAAGGCUCUGAUUAUACAAACUCUGCCCUUCCCUCUGAGUAGAGCUUCUCUCCCUUUGCCUCUAGCCUAAGCUGUUUCAUCUAAGUCAGACCCCAACCACAAAGCACUGUGGACAAACAGCAGCAGCCUCAGUACAGAGCUACACCGGUAUUAAAAAUAUGUUUAUCUUUAAUGAUCCAAGAUUCUGCAAGACACACUGAUACACCCAGAAUUGGGUGGAAAUAUAGCGUCCUAGCACUGCUGCCACCAGCUUGGGGGUGGGGGCUGGAUGCUGGCUGAAGGACCCCCAUGGUGGAGUCAAUUCCAACCUCACAGGCGCCUCAGUGCCCUAUCUCCAUGGAAACCAGUCUGACACUGGCAUGGGGCCCUAGGGAGCUCACAUGAGUAUCUCUGAGAGGUAUUUCCCAUUAAAAACAACCACAGGUACCCUCCCCCAGACAAAGCUGCUGUCCCUCCUCCCUUUUACCAAGAAAUGGAGUGAC